AAGAUGGGAUGAUUGAAUUUUGAC
rnacentral:miRNA from 1 species